AUUGUAAUUAGCUAAGUGGUUAUAGCAGGGGGCUAAAAUCCCCGUAUCGCGAGUUCGAAUCUCGCAUUAAAUG
rnacentral:tRNA from 1 species